UACGUAGGGUGCGAGCGUUAUUCGGAAUUACUGGGCGUAAAGCGUGCGCAGGCGGUUUUGUAAGACAGAUGUGAAAGCCCCGGGCUCAACCUGGGAACUGCAUUUGGGACUGCAAGGCUGGAGUACGGCAGAGGGAGGUGGAAUUCCACGUGUAGCAGUGAAAUGCGUAGAGAUGUGGAGGAACACCGAUGGCGAAGGCAGCCUCCUGGGCUAGUACUGACGCUCAUGCACGAAAGCGUGGGGAGCAAACAGG
rnacentral:rRNA from 1 species